GUCUACGGCCAUACCACCCUGAACACGCCCAAUCUUGUCUGAUCUCAGAAGCUAAGCAGGGUCGGGCCUGGUUAGUACUUGGAUGGGAGAAUGUGAGCUCAGAUCUACAGGGAUGCAGAGGUCA
ensembl:rRNA 5S_rRNA 5S ribosomal RNA